rnacentral:rRNA from 1 species
UGCAAGUCGAGGGAGAACCGGCCUUCGGGCCGGGGAGACCGGCGAACGGGUGAGUAACACGUGAGGAACCUGCCCUGUAGAUCGGAAUAACCAUGGGAAACUGUGGCUAAUGCCGGAUAAUCUCGGAUGACCACAUGGACGUCUGAGGAAAAGGUCUGCCGCUACAGGAUGGCCUCGCGGCCUAUCAGCUAGUUGGUGAGGUAACGGCCUACCAAGGCGACGAUCGGUAGCUGGUCUGAGAGGACGGCCAGCCACACUGGAACUGAGACACGGUCCAGACUCCUACGGGAGGCAGCAGUGGGGAAUAUUGGACAAUGGGGGCAACCCUGAUCCAGCAAUGCCGCGUGUGUGAAGAAGGCCUGCGGGUUGUAAAGCACUUUCGGUUGGGAAGAAAAGUCCGGCGCUAAUAUCGCCGGGCCUUGACGUUACUGACAGAAGAAGCACCGGCUAACUCUGUGCCAGCAGCCGCGGUAAUACAGAGGGUGCAAGCGUUAAUCGGAAUCACUGGGCGUAAAGCGUGCGUAGGUGGUCAUGCAAGUCGGGUGUGAAAUCCCCGGGCUCAACCUGGGAACUGCAUUCGAUACUACAUGGCUGGAGUAUGGUAGAGGGAAGUGGAAUUUCCGGUGUAGCGGUGAAAUGCGUAGAUAUCGGAAGGAACACCAAUGGCGAAGGCAGCUUCCUGGACCAAUACUGACACUGAGGCACGAAAGCGUGGGUAGCAAACAGGAUUAGAUACCCUGGUAGUCCACGCCCUAAACGAUGAGAACUAGCCGUUGGGGGAAUUUAAUCCUCUAGUGGCGCAGCUAACGCGUUAAGUUCUCCGCCUGGGGAGUACGGCCGCAAGGUUAAAACUCAAAGGAAUUGACGGGGGCCCGCACAGCGG